CAGCACUUUCACUUUUAUAAAUGCAUUAGUAUCACAGAGGGACGAAAACAAUUAUUGAAAUGAAAGAUGAAUCAUGGGUUUCAUCUCAACUUUUAUUUCUCCAACAGUAUAAUGGCUGCUGUGGGUGGUCACAUUUUGUAUAGAAAAAUACAUAUUCAUCCCACCUAUAAAAUAUUAGAAAUUGUAAUGAUGUAAAAAAAAAACCAAAAAAACUGUACACCAUACAAAUUUUGAAACAGCUAAUUGCCUUUCAAGGCUUUGUAUGGUUGCACUUAUAACCUGUGUGACCUCAGAGACACCACAUUAAACAUGCUAACCUUUUUUGUUUUUGAAAAUUAACAACAAAAUGAAAACAUUAAUGGUCAAUAAACUAUAAUUUUUUCUUUUGCUUUUUCUUACAAUACAGAUAUUCCAAAAUGAUUUUCCACAAAUUGUGACAAACAAUAUAGUAUUCUUGAUAUCAACUUUAAUUAUAACUAGUAGGAAGUGUUUACAGCAUUUGUCAACUUCAUCCUGUUGUUUCUAAAUACAUAUAUCUUUUAUAUAUAGCCACAUGAUAAACUGAUUAACAGUAUGCAUGCUAAAACUUAUCAAUUGUAUCUUGUAAGAAAACUUUUUUCCAAUAAUAUUUUUUAGUUUUAUCAAAUGAUUGAAUACUGUUGCUGAAGUCGAUUCUCAUAGUCUCCAUCUACAAUUAUUAAAGCUUACUGCUAUAGGAACAGUACAAAUGAAAUAUUGAGAUAAACCCCUUGACCAUGGCAAUUGAACUUGCAAAAACAAUCCAAAAUUGAGCAAAAAAACUUUAUGGUAAUAUUCAAAGAAGACUGGAUGUGACAUAAAGCAUAUACACAAGGAAGGUCCUUCUACUAGAAUACAUAUAUUGGAUAACAUAACUAACAUCAGUACGGUAUACUGGGUACAUUAGUUUACAUUCUUUGGCACUUCAUAAUGAAAAGAAUAACUUAUAAAACUAAAACUUUGUAUGAUUUCAAAAUAUAUUGUGAUUAAAAUGGAUAUUUAAAGGAAAUUUGGAUACAUGUUGAAUUGAUACUUAUAAUACCUGUUAUUAUUAGAGUGAAUGCCUGACCAUAAUUGACGUACAUGGUGAAUUAAUUCAUGCUAACUUGCCUGCUUGUCGAUUUAGUGAUAUCUUAUUUUACACUUUUAAAUGGUAUGAUCAACUUCAAUAAAAUUAGUCCAUUUUGUUGAUAUACAUGAUCAAUUUUUGAUCAUACAUGUAACACACAAGAAUAGACACUAAGGAAAACAGCACCACUACCUAGCAUCAUGUAAAGAUUUGGUUCUUGUUUAUAGAACAUCAAAUUAGUUUCAUAUAAUAUUCCAUUUAAUGAAUUUUUUCUCCUUUUUUUUCUCUUGCCAUCUUUAUGUCUUCUUUUAUAUUCCUUUGACCAUAACAAAAUUCUGAAAACAUCCCUGAUCUAUAAUAUUACAGCAAAAUGCAUUGAGUGUGUAGGUAAAGGAAUUAUGCUUGGUUACCUUGCUUGCUAGCUGAACCAUGAAGUCCUUAUUAGGUUAGGUAUACUACCUCCUUUCAAAGUAGUCCUACAGACAGAUAGAUUUUUCAUCUGUUGGACUAGUCUACUCUUAAAGGAGGGAAGUAUACCUAACUUCUGUGAAAUCAAAUCAAAGGUGUAAUUUUUUUAUAGGAUUAUACAAAUACAGAUGUUUAGAAUAGAUAAAACAAAAUUACAGGUCAACACGAGAUCAUGCAGGUUUUUUAAAAUUGACCAGCUUGUGGAGAUUUCCAGAAAAAUAUACUUAUAUUAAUACCAACAUUACCAAGGCUCAACAUUUUU
rnacentral:lncRNA from 1 species